rnacentral:lncRNA from 1 species
UUAGUAAAAUGUCGAAUGAGCCUGUGUUGAAAAUAAAAGAAUGGAAAAAGAAAGGAUCAAAUAGAGGAAGGAAUUUCAUAAAAAUGUCAAUAAAAAGAAAUAGAAAGGAAAGUGAGUGAACAAAGUAAGAAAAAAGUGGGCAUGAUAAAAAGAGAGAAAAGAGGGAAUAGUGGCCCCUAGACAAAAAGGCAAAAUAAAUAGUGUGAUGUAAGAGUUCAAGGAAAGGUAUAGCCAUGUUGAUCCCAGAUGACAUCCUACCCUAACUGGAUCCUACAUUACAAGCUUAGAAAGACCUUUG